UCCGGCCCCGCCGCCGCCCGGCAACCGCCCAACGGCCGCCCGCGGGGGUGUGGGGGGGGGAACCGAGCCGUUGGUCACCCCCAGGGUCACAGCCAUCUUGGGGCCUGCCCUCAGGGGGUCACCGCGACUGCGGGAGGACAAAGACAGACACCUAAACAGCCUUGCACAUGGGAAGGUGCUAGCUCAGCCGAACGCAGGCUGUUCACCACAGUGGCCACUUGAAGAAGAGGGGGAAGAAGUUGGGCUGCGGAUGGGAUCAGAAAGCUGCUCACCACAAGGAAAAAGGAAGAAUGCAUCUGUCCUGAUGAGGCUUAGGAUGGGCUGUUACAGAUCCUGGGGAUGUAGAUGGAACAUCCUGAUGCCGCUUUGCUCAUAACAGAAGGAGGACCUGAGAUGAGAGUGCCUCAGAAGUACCAGACAUUUUG
rnacentral:lncRNA from 1 species